UGGGGAAUUUUGGACAAUGGGGGAAACCCUGAUCCAGCCAUCCCGCGUGUGCGAUGAAGGCCUUCGGGUUGUAAAGCACUUUUGGCAGGAAAGAAACGUCAUGGGUUAAUACCCCGUGAAACUGACGGUACCUGCAGAAUAAGCACCGGCUAACUACGUGCCAGCAGCCGCGGUAAUACGUAGGGUGCAAGCGUUAAUCGGAAUUACUGGGCGUAAAGCGUGCGCAGGCGGUUCGGAAAGAAAGAUGUGAAACCCCAGAGCUCAACUUUGGAUCUGCAUUUUUAACUACCGGGCUAGAGUGUGUCAGAGGGAGGUGGAAUUCCGCGUGUAGCAGUGAAAUGCGUAGAUAUGCGGAGGAACACCGAUGGCGAAGGCAGCCUCCUGGGAUAACACUGACGCUCAUGCACGAAAGCGUGGGGAGCAAACAGG
rnacentral:rRNA from 1 species